UGGGUUUCUUGAUGACUGGGACCUUGACAUUAUAUUAAUAUGGUUCGUUGUCGAUGAAACCUUGA